UCACCCAUACUGUUGUGUCAUCUAAACUGACUUGUGUCACCCAUACUGUUGUAUCAUCUAAACUCCUCCACACUGUGUCAUUUAAAUUGUGUGUUUGAAGACUCUUCAAUACAGAGAGUGUAGAUUCUUUAGAUUUCAUUAAAGAAUGAAAACCACACACAUAACCGUGCCAUAUUUAAAUGAACUUUGUCAACUAAGUCAAGGUGUACAAAAACUCUGGCAUGUUCCUUCAUCCAGAUUGUAUCAGCUUUUCCUUCAUCCAGAUUGUAUCCACUGUUUCCUUCGUCCAGUUUGUAUCAGCUGUUCCUUCAUCCAGAUUGUAUC